AUUGAACGCUGGCGGCAGGCUUAACACAUGCAAGUCGAGCGGGGGAGGUUGCUUCGGUAACUGACCUAGCGGCGGACGGGUGAGUAAUGCUUAGGAAUCUGCCUAUUAGUGGGGGACAACAUCUCGAAAGGGAUGCUAAUACCGCAUACGUCCUACGGGAGAAAGCAGGGGACCUUCGGGCCUUGCGCUAAUAGAUGAGCCUAAGUCGGAUUAGCUAGUUGGAGGGGUAAAGGCCUACCAAGGCGACGAUCUGUAGCGGGUCUGAGAGGAUGAUCCGCCACACUGGGACUGAGACACGGCCCAGACUCCUACGGGAGGCAGCAGUGGGGAAUAUUGGACAAUGGGGGGAACCCUGAUCCAGCCAUGCCGCGUGUGUGAAGAAGGCCUUUUGGUUGUAAAGCACUUUAAGCGAGGAGGAGGCUACUGGUAUUAAUACUACCGGAUAGUGGACGUUACUCGCAGAAUAAGCACCGGCUAACUCUGUGCCAGCAGCCGCCGUAA
rnacentral:rRNA from 1 species